GGGGGAGGUUAAGAAAAUGUUUCCCUGAAGGGUGAUAAUUACAGGAACUGAGUUGUUUUUUUUUAAAGGCAGAGGAAAACCAGGAUGAAAAGAAGAGGAUGAAUUCAGAAAAUCGGAACCUCAUAGGACAGAUUUCACUCUCUGAAAAAGAGAGUGAGAGAAGGAGAGUGAAAGCAGUACCAAGAGGGAGAAGCUUCCUUUCUUCCUGCCUUUGAGGACAGCUGCGUGAGAAUAUGAUUUUUGGAGUUACAGCAACCACCUUAUCACCCUGUGUAACUGGAAGACCAAGAGAAUGACAAGCCCACAGCACUGACAUCGUUAACUCACUAAACCAUGUUCAGAACCAACUCCCUCUGGACUCACUGUUGUAGGAGAAAAAUAA